rnacentral:rRNA from 1 species
GCGCACCAGGCGAGAAUCCUCCGCAAUACACGAAAGUGUGACGGGGCCAUCCCGAGUGCCGUCCGCUGAGGACGGCUUUUCCCCAGUGUACACAGCUGGGGGAAUAAGGAGAGGGCAAGCCUGGUGUCAGCCGCCGCGGUAAUACCAGCUCUCCGAGUGGUGGGGACGCUUAUUGGGCCUAAAGCAUCCGUAGCCGGCUGGGCAAGUCCUCCGUUAAAUCCAACGAUUCAAUCGUUGGGCUGCGGGGGAUACUGUCCAGCUUGGGGGCGGGAGAGGCCGACGGGUAUUCCCCGGGGUAGGGGU